rnacentral:rRNA from 1 species
GUGCCAGCAGCCGCGGUAAUACGUAGGGGGCAAGCGUUGUCCGGAUUUAUUGGGCGUAAAGAGCUCGUAGGCGGCUCGGUAAGUCGGAUGUGAAACCUCCAGGCUCAACCUGGAGACGCCAUCUGAUACUGCCGUGGCUUGAGUCCGGUAGAGGAGCAGGGAAUUCCUGGUGUAGCGGUGAAAUGCGCAGAUAUCAGGAGGAACACCAGCGGCGAAGGCGCUGCUCUGGGCCGGUACUGACGCUGAGGAGCGAAAGCGUGGGGAGCGAACAGGAUUAGAUACCCUCGUAGUCC